rnacentral:tRNA from 1 species
UGGCUCAGCGGUUGAGAGCACUGACUGGGUUCCAGAGGUCCUGGGUUCAAAUCCCAG